AAUGAAAUAUCUUGGUCUACCUAACAAAAUAGUUACCGAUUAAAAACAUUUUUAAGAUUAGUAAAAGUGAUAGAAGGUUAUUAAAUAAGACCCAAGUAAAGUACCGUAAGGGAACAAAUUCAAUUAGAUCAAAGAAAGAAUUAAUAUUUGUACCUUUUGCAUCAUGGUUUAGCUAGAUAUCUAUUUUCUCUAAAAUUUCUCGAAAUCUGAUGAGUUAUCUUUAUUCAGUAUUUUAGUACCGAAAGAGUAGUUGUAGCAAAAACUUUCUUAGAAAUACAGAUGGAAAUGAAAUUUUAUUCGUAUCAGAUGAUAGCUAGUUCUUCAGAAAGGCAUAUAAGUGCUCUAAACUAAUUUAAUCUUUGUAAUAGAACUAUAAAGAGAAUUUAGUUUAAUUAAAUUUUUGAGGAUAAGCUCGAAAAUUAAUAUUAUAUUUGCAUUUUAUUCUUGUUAAAAUUUAGGCUUGAAAGUAGCCACAAUUUUGAGUUUGUUAUAAUUCCAUUAAUUAAUGAAGAAGAUAAUUAAUUUGCUGCAAGUAAAUGAAGAAAACUUAAUAACUAAAUUAAGCUAAAUUAAUGCUAAAAUGAGUAUUACACUAAUCUAUAUAUCUUUAACAAUCUAUAAGUUAAAGUUUAUUCAUGCUUUUAGUUUAUAAAUUACAGAAAGGAACUCGGCAAAUCCACAUUCUGCCUGUUUAGCAAAAACAUGGCUCCUUGAAAACUGAUAAUAAGGAGUCGGACCUGCCCAGUGAAUUUUUUUAACGGCCGCGGUACUCUGACCGUGCAAAGGUAGCAUAAUCAUUUGCCUUAUAAUUGAAGGCUAGUAUGAAUGGUUUGACAUGAAUGUAGCUGUCUCUCUGUAAUUCAACAGAACUUUACUUUCAGGUGAAGAGGCCUGUAUAUAAUUAAAAGACAAGAAGACCCUAUCGAGCUUGAAAGAAACUAAUAGAAUUAUGAUUAAUAUCAUUAAAAGAUUAUCUAUUAUAAAUUUUAGUUGGGGCGACUGAGGAACAUAAAAAGCUUCCUUUAAGAUUUAUUAAAAUCAGACUAGAGUUGAUCCAAAACAUUUUGAUUAAAGGAAUUAGUUACCGUAGGGAUAACAGCAUUAUCUUUUUUAAGAGCUCAUAUCGAAAAAAAGGUUUGUGACCUCGAUGUUGGACCAGAAUAUCCUAAAGGUGCAGCAGCCUUUAAGGGUUGGUCUGUUCGACCAUUAAAAUUCUACGUGAUCUGAGUUCAGACCGGCGUGAGCCAGGUCAGUUUCUAUCUUUAAUUAUAGAGGUAAGUUUAGUACGAAAGGACCAAUUUACUAUAAAACAAUAUUAUUCCCUGAUCAAAUUUAAUUAGUAAUUAAGUU
rnacentral:rRNA from 1 species